rnacentral:rRNA from 1 species
GAAUUCGCCCUUAGAGUUUGAUCCUGGCUCAGGACGAACGCUGGCGGCGCGCCUAACACAUGCAAGUCGAACGGAGUCAAGAGGAGCUUGCUUUUCUUGACUUAGUGGCGAACGGGUGAGUAACGCGUGAGUAACCUGCCCUGGAGUGGGGGACAACAGUUGGAAACGACUGCGAAUACCGCAUAAGCCCACGGAUCCGCAUGGAUCUGCGGGAAAAGGAUUUAUUCGCUUCAGGAUGGACUCGCGUCCAAUUAGCUAGUUGGUGAGGUAACGGCCCACCUAGUCUUCGAUGGAUAGGGGUUCUGAGAGGAAGGUCCCCCACAUUGGAACUGAGACACGGUCCAAACUCCUACGGGAGGCAGCAGUGGGGAAUAUUGCACAAUGGGGGAAACCCUGAUGCAGCGACGCCGCGUGGAGGAAGAAGGUUUUCGGAUUGUAAACUCCUGUCGUUAGGGACGAUAAUGACGGUACCUAACAAGAAAGCACCGGCUAACUACGUGCCAGCAGCCGCGGUAAAACGUAGGGUGCAAGCGUUGUCCGGAAUUACUGGGUGUAAAGGGAGCGCAGGCGGGAAGACAAGUUGGAAGUGAAAACCAUGGGCUCAACCCAUGAAUUGCUUUCAAAACUGUUUUUCUUGAGUAGUGCAGAGGUAGAUGGAAUUCCCGGUGUAGCGGUGGAAUGCGUAGAUAUCGGGAGGAACACCAGUGGCGAAGGCGGUCUACUGGGCACCAACUGACGCUGAGGCUCGAAAGCAUGGGUAGCAAACAGGAUUAGAUACCCUGGUAGUCCAUGCCGUAAACGAUGAUUACUAGGUGUUGGGGGAUUGACCCCCUCAGUGCCGCAGUUAACACAAUAAGUAAUCCACCUGGGGAGUACGACCGCAAGGUUGAAACUCAAAGGAAUUGACGGGGGCCCGCACAAGCAGUGGAGUAUGUGGUUUAAUUCGAAGCAACGCGAAGAACCUUACCAGGUCUUGACAUCCGAUGCAUAGCACAGAGAUGUGUGAAGUCCUUCGGGACAUCGAGACAGGUGGUGCAUGGUUGUCGUCAGCUCGUGUCGUGAGAUGUUGGGUUAAGUCCCGCAACGAGCGCAACCCUUAUUGCCAGUUACUACGUUAAGAGGACUCUGGCGAGACUGCCGUUGACAAAACGGAGGAAGGUGGGGAUGACGUCAAAUCAUCAUGCCCUUUAUGACCUGGGCUACACACGUACUACAAUGGCGUUAAACAAAGAGAAGCAAGACCGCGAGGUGGAGCAAAGCUCAAAAACAACGUCUCAGUUCAGAUUGCAGGCUGCAACUCGCCUGCAUGAAGUCGGAAUUGCUAGUAAUCGCGGAUCAGCAUGCCGCGGUGAAUACGUUCCCGGGUCUUGCACACACCGCCCGUCA